AAAAAAAAAAUGCAAAAGCGUGAGGUUCCAUUAAAACAAACAUGCAUAAAAUGAUUACUCCAAAAGAAAGGACGUUUUACCCCGAGAUACCUGCAACAAAUUCGGUGGAUAAUGCUCUUCCAGAGCCACUGAAGACUUUGAUGAAUUUUAACUUUCAUGUGAAAGAAUUCUAUCAGUUACAUCGGCUAAUGAAUGUAAAAAGGAAUGUGAGGAAGAACCCAAGUUUCUAAAAUUACAAAAUGGCAGGGGGACGAUGCAGGUCCCCACAAGCUACAAAAAGGUAUCCUUCUAUUAAACUAAACCUUAAUGAUACAAUUUUCUUCCCCCCCUUUUUUUUUUUUAACUUUCAGUUUCCCCUUUUUCCAGAAUUUGCACUAAUCUUCCGUUUCCCC
rnacentral:lncRNA from 1 species